UCCUCAGUAGCUCAGUGGUAGAGCAAUCGGCUGUUAACCGAUUGGCCGUAGGUUCGAGUCCUACCUGGGGAG
rnacentral:tRNA from 1 species